UACGUAGGGGGCAAGCGUUGUCCGGAUUUAUUGGGCGUAAAGAGCGUGUAGGCGGCCAGGUAGGUCAGCUGUGAAAACUCGAGGCUCAACCUCGAGACGUCGGUUGAAACCAUCUGGCUAGAGUCCGGAAGAGGAGAGUGGAAUUCCUGGUGUAGCGGUGAAAUGCGCAGAUAUCAGGAAGAACACCCGUGGCGAAGGCGGCGACCUCGUCG
rnacentral:rRNA from 1 species